CACCGCGGUUAAACGAGAGGCCCCAGUUGAUAACACCACGGCGUAAAGGGUGGUUAAGGAAUGCAAGAAAUAAAGCCAAAUGGCCCUUUGGCCGUCAUACGCUCCUAGGUGUCCGAAGUCCAAUUACACGAAAGUAGCUUUAAUAUAAGCCCACCUGACCCCACGAAAGCUGAGAAA
rnacentral:rRNA from 1 species